rnacentral:rRNA from 1 species
GACGAACGCUGCGGCGUGCUUAACCCCUGCAAGUCGAACGGAAAGGCCCUGCUUUUGUGGGGUGCUCGAGUGGCGAACGGGUGAGUAACACGUGAGUAACCUGCCCUUGACUUUGGGAUAACUUCAGGAAACUGGGGCUAAUACCGGAUAGGAGCUCCUGCUGCAUGGUGGGGGUUGGAAAGUUUCGGCGGUUGGGGAUGGACUCGCGGCUUAUCAGCUUGUUGGUGGGGUAGUGGCUUACCAAGGCUUUGACGGGUAGCCGGCCUGAGAGGGUGACCGGCCACAUUGGGACUGAGAUACGGCCCAGACUCCUACGGGAGGCAGCAGUGGGGAAUAUUGCACAAUGGGCGGAAGCCUGAUGCAGCAACGCCGCGUGCGGGAUGACGGCCUUCGGGUUGUAAACCGCUUUCGCCUGUGACGAAGCGUGAGUGACGGUAAUGGGUAAAGAAGCACCGGCUAACUACGUG